GGUUACCAAGACAUACGUUUAGAUGUCGACGCUUGGACCUGUGACGUGACGGCCGCAUGCAGCCUCUGGGUGUUGGCCUCGUCCCGGACAAGAAUCACUUUGUGCAAAUGUAAAAGGAGGUGGGAUCAAUGUGUGUGUGAGUGCGUGUGUGUGUGAAUGAAGUCUCUGUGUUGUCCAGCAAACACACUGCCUCUAUUCACUAUUCACCACUCUGAUGCACACACGGUCACUUAAAGACACAGCGAGCUUCACGAGGGUAGUCGGGUUAAUCUAUCAAAUUCGUCCCUCCUGUGACACCCCACAGAUAAACAGGAAGAACACACACACGCACUGACAGGAAGUGCUCAGUUGGCCUGUAUUUCAUAUACUUUAUUACUGCACAUGCGGCACCAUUCAUGCUUCAUCUUAGGAGGCAAGAGCAGAACAGACCGAAUUCUGGAGGAGGAAGUGGAAGAGCGUGCUUCCGAUGCUCACCGUUGGCUUGAGGCUCCGUCUUCCUGCGGGAUCGGUUCUUGCCUCGCAGCCGGGAGAAAGUUCUCUUGAGCAGAGGCUGGGCCAUGGCUGGCUGGCGGGCGUCCGUCUGCUCCCUGAGCUGUUUUUGCGGAGAGAAGGCCCAAGAACUCAAGUGGACAACAAGGCAUGGAAAGUUGCUUGUGAUGAGAGCAGCGCAAUACAUUAGGUGACGCCUGUACUGAGGUAAUGCCGAGAUGUGCACGUGCGCUGUUGUGAUGGCCAGUCGUCAUGGCUACAUGCUCACGUGGACUCCGCUGUCUUUUGGGCGUGGGCUUGCCUUUUUGCUUCCUUUGUCUAUGUAUGGCCUGGCUCCAUGCUAACGAGUCUGACCUGAAGCACAUGUCAAGGUCAACGUCAAGUGCUUGUGGAGUAGCAGACGGCCGUUGGUGGUAAAAGUACUCAUGCAAGUCAAGAUACAGACACUCAUGUAAAAGUGGGGGAGGGAGGGUCUCAUACUGGGAAGAAGAAAAGCAUCACAUGGCGAGUGUUGGCUCAACUGUUAUGAAAACAAUGUGUUGUCAUACGUUUGCCAAGAUUGACAACUGAAUUUUAAAAAAUGCCUCAUUAGCUAUCGCACAAAACUCAACACGUUUGCCACAAAUCAUUCGUUGAGCUGACCGCAAGCAACUCACUUUUAGACGGGGAUGGCAGAUAUCUGGCUUCUGGGAAUCUGUUACAUCGUCGUCAUUAUUGGUGGCCCGUUAACAUUUGUUUUGUUUUUUUUAACCCCACAUAUAUAUAAUACCCCAAAAUCCUAAUCUAGUAAUAAAUCUAAAUAAUAAAUGCAAUUGCCAACCCCUCGCUGAAUUGGCAUCUUGUUUGGUUGCAAUAUAUUUUGACAAGUGUAGAAAGUACAGUACAAAUACCUGAAAACUGUCCCCGAGUCCUACAAUUGAACAGGGAUAGACGACACUAUCAGAUCUCACAAGCUUCUGUUGCAAUUUGUGUCUGAAUGUCAACUUCCUUUUGUGAUGCAACGUCCUUUUUGUCCGUUAGAUGGCGACAGAGUCCAGAAAACGCCGACCUGCGCGGAGCUGAGUGAACGCUUCGAGCCAAGUCCAUCUUGAGACAAGAAAAGCGAAAACCGGGGGAGGCCUCCGUGUUUCUCGGAAUGCCAAUUAGCAUUAGCAUGAUAGUUACAUUACGUUUAGUGGGUCGCAACCAGAGUCCUGAUGAGGAAAAGGACACUUUGGACUCUGGCGGGCCGCCGGCGCAUGCAGCCAAAGACGCCCGAAGGUUUGUGACAACGCUGACUGCCACUUGGAGCUGUACUUAGUCCCGUUAACCUUGACAAAGGCUCAAGGUGAUUCGUUCCAACAUGACAAACGAGUAUAAAAGUGUGAGAAAAUGAAUUGUGCUUGAGUGCCUUUUUCAGACACUCCACUUGGAAGCCGAAACUCAUGUGAGAAAUUCAAAGAAUCUCCCAGCGCCCUUCUACGUUCCACUAGAGGGCGUCCAUCUUGCUCUCUUCCUCAGUUGCCAUCUUCAUCAGUCUUGGGGUGACUUCGUUCAAGCCAACACACACUUGACGGCUGGGGGAAGGGGGCGGAAGAUCCGGAGGAAUGAAGGUGUGCGGUGCUCUGCGGUUGGUCGAUCGUCUCUCUCUCCAUCACUUGGCCCGUCCUUAUAAGGGCAGGCCCCGCCCCCUCUGUCGCGCCGUCACAGCCGUGGGGUUUUGGGGUUUUGGCGUCGGGUCCUGUGGGGCCGCGGGGCUGAGAGUUCUUUGCCUUCUCAUCAUCGCGCCGUCCUCUUCCUCGCCCUCCUCUUCACCUCGCCUUGUCUUUAGGGAAAACGGGGGCGGGGGGGCAAGUCUUUGCUUUCGUGCAAUUCGGCGAUUUCUUUUUCUUUUUUUUUUUUUUCCUCUGAGGAUUUUCUUUCGCUUCUGAAUUCCCCGACUAAAUUUCCCCUCACGGUCGCCUUUGAAACGUGAAAAAGCAAAAACGAUAAUAAAAGUAUCCCAGCAAGGCGGCACAACAUUUUUCUUCGGCCUCUGGGGCACUUUUGCCAACUUCCAGAAGAAACGAUUGAAGACCAGUGCUUGAGUUUUCCUGCGGGACAUUCUUCCUUCUGCUUGCUCUCCAUCUGCUUCUUCUCGAUACAG